rnacentral:rRNA from 1 species
UACAGAGGUCUCAAGCGUUGUUCGGAUUCAUUGGGCGUAAAGGGUGUGUAGGUGGCGCCGUAAGUCGGGGGUGAAAUUUCGGAGCUUAACUCCGAAACUGCAUUCGAUACUGCGGUGCUUGAGGACUGGAGAGGAGACUGGAAUUCAUGGUGUAGCAGUGAAAUGCGUAGAGAUCAUGAGGAAGACCAGUGGCGAAGGCGGGUCUCUGGACAGUUCCUGACACUGAGACACGAAGGCCAGGGGAGCAAACGGG